CAGAAAGACCCGUGAACAUGUAAAUACAACUGGGUGAUGGGGAGACGGGCCUUGGUCCUGACCCUCAACACCUCCGUUCGUGCUUGUGUGGUGUCUCUCUUUGGGGCACCAUGUAUGUCUCGUCGGACAAUAACAAACCCCGGCACGGAAUGUGCCAAGGAAAACAAAAAAUGAGAAGGACUCGUCUUGUUAUGCCCCGUUCGCGGUGUGUAUACUGGUCGUGUCCUCCUUGGAAUCA
rnacentral:misc_RNA from 1 species